GACGAACGCUGGCGGCGUGCUUAACACAUGCAAGUCGAACGGCAAGGCACUGCUUUUGUGGGGUGCUCGAGUGGCGAACGGGGGAGUAACACGUGAGUAACCUGCCCUUGACUUUGGGAUAACUUCAGGAAACUGGGGCUAAUACCGGAUAGGAGCUCCUGCUGCAUGGUGGGGGGGGGAAAGUUUCGGCGGUUGGGGCUGGACGCGCGGCUUAUCAGCUUGUUGGUGGGGUAGUGGCUUACCAAGGCUUUGACGGGUAGCCGGCCUGAGAGGGUGAACGGCCACAUUGGGACUGAGAUACGGCCCAGACUCCUACGGUAGGCAGCAGUGGGGAAUAUUGCACAAUGGGCGGAAGCCUGAUGCAGCAACGCUGCGUGCGGGAUGACGUCCUUCGGGGUGUAAACCGCUUUCGCCUGUGACGAAGCGUGAGUGACGGUAAUGGGUAAAGAAGCACCGGCUAACUACGUG
rnacentral:rRNA from 1 species